rnacentral:lncRNA from 1 species
UGAAUCUCUUACAGCCACUCUGUUUCUGUGAAUGAAGUGUGAAAUAAUUCUGAAAGCCUAAAGGAACCCUGGAAGUGUUUUAGGUAUAGGACAGCAUGGUUUGUAACGUGGCCUGGUAGAGAAACUGAUCCUUAAAAAGAAGGUAAUCUGCCUUCUCCACCCAAAACAGGCAAGUUGGGUACAAAGCAUGCUGGAGACCUAAGAACAUGAACCAGGGAGGCAGUAUAAGAAAACGAGAAUCGGUUUUAGAUGUGAAACUGGGAAAGCCACGGUAGAGGUGGCCAAGUUAGAGGCAGUCAUCAUCCACGGCUGAGUUUUCAUGUUGGUCAAUAGUUUCUGACUUGUGAAAGCAGGAGCACCCCCAAGGUUCACCCCAGAUGCUGCCUCAGACGUGAAGUAUAUCGGUAGCAGGACACUUUCAAGCCCUUUCCUACUGGGGAAUUAAGACUACUAAUACAUUCUGUAUCCUGUUGAGGAUUUACCUGGAACUAAGCAGUGCUUAUGCUGCAAAGGAAGUGCGUCGGUAACUACAGCCAGGUGAGGCUGGGAGAUAGCAGGACCUGAUCUUCUGAAUGUAAGCAUAUCCAUUUACUCUGCAAACAAAGGAUUCGGUACUUUGCCUUUUAAUGGCCAGGACAGAUAUUUAUCUCCUGUGUGAGUUAUAGGCGUCUAUGUAGUCAGUUAUAUAACCAUAGUUAAUAAAAUUGUAAUCAAUGUAAAUUUCCUAUUAAACCAUUCUUUUAGGACUGAGCAUGUGUUGGUCUUUAAUAACUUGAUCUGUGUAGUUACACAUUU